UGGGAAACCAUUGAAGUUUCCACACAGCCCGCAGAGCUUGUUACGAUAGGUCCCGGGCACGCUUAGCUCAGCAUAGCUGUUACCAUUCCAUACCAACUGUAGACAAAGCCAGAGAGAGCAUUCACAAGUUCUCUUUAUGCUGAGUCAUGCUGAAAAGACUAUUGAAUGUUUAACUACUAAUGUCAAACCAAUCGUUCAUUUGUGCAACAUUUUAUGAAAUAAAAGCAAUUUUUACCUUUA